GUUUUAUUAUAUUCCUAAUCUGUUGCCCUGAUCAAUCUCUCGAUAGCUUACCCAAUAAAAAAUUGUGUUGAUGAUUAUAUUUUUUUAUAUCUGAGAUCUGAUCCUGAGAGGUCAGGAAAAUUGUAAUUCCUUCCUUUUUGGUCUAGUCUUAAACAGAAUUACCAUUGAAAAAGAAAUGGGAACAAAGAAAUGUGGAUGCUAUCCAACAAAUAUGUUACUUAUUUUUAGUUUUUACUUGUCCUGACUGAUCCCAAAUCCCAUGAUCCUAAAGGUUUAAUCUUGGAUAUACCUGACUGGGCUAUGAUCAUAAGAGCCAUAAUAAAGUUAUAUAAUAUCCCAUCUGUCUCAUCUUUGCCUUCACUCUCAAGCAUCUAUCCAGGAGAAUGAUCUUAGACUAGGAAAUAUAGAACAAAAAUGGUUUCCAAGAAGUUGAAAGCCCAAAUAAUGAGACAAUAAAAGUAAUCCCACGUGUGAACUGAAUUCUAAGGAACAAAAGGAAGUGUUGUAUGGUAUUGAUGAGCAGCUGAUGGUGAUCUAUGAAAAAUAUAGGAUAAGAAAAGUGCCACAAGCCUGGAGAAUCAUGAAGGUCCCUUGUUUCAAAAAAGGAAGAGGAGAGUUUGAAGAUCACUGAAGGUGAUCCCAAGGUCACUGAACAUGAUUUCUAUUUCUGCUACCAGGGAGCUUGAGCUGGCUAUUCUCUUAUUCAUGGAAGUUCUGAGCGGUCGUGGCUAUGUUGAUAUGAUGUCUGUGCUGAGUUCAGCAUUGUUGUGGUGAGCUCCUGGGAAAAGAGGGCACCAGGUUGUCUAAGGAAGCAGCAAACUGGCCUAGGGUUA
rnacentral:lncRNA from 1 species